CACUUGGGCCUCAGCCCGUCCGGCCAUCCGCUGCGCAGUGGCCCAAAAAUCUGCUAAAAAUCUGCUCUCAUCCCCUUCCAUGGCAGCAGCGGCCGCCGCCACCCUCCCCCAGCGUCGGCCUCAAUUGCAUUGCCUCAACGCCCGACGCCCGAAUCGCAGCCCUCCACCAGAUGAACGCUGCCCGCCACCACUAGAUCGUUGCUGCCGCGCAGUUCCUCUGUCCGCGAGGCGCCACCAUCUCCGAGCCGCCGUGGAUCUCGUGCGGAUGGGUGAUUGGGCUGGCCGCCUGCGUGGCCCUAGCGAGCUCGCCAGCCGUUGCCGAAGACCCAAAUCCCCGAGCUCGACGAGCUAGCUAGCCAUCCUGGAUGCCUUGCGGAGAAACCUUGCCAUGGGCUAUGAGCCCCGUAGCCACCUCGCCAGCUGCCGUUGGAGCCGAGCAGGUAGGCGGACGAGGACGAGGAUAGCGCGUACAACGAAGCUAUUCCAGGGGACAACGUGGAGUUCCAGCAAAGAGGUUCAGUUCAGUUCAGAACUUUUGAACGCCAAGUGGUUCAGUUCAGAACUUGGCUUGGUGGAUGUAGUGCUGGAUGCGUAAAAAAAAAUCGAAGGUAGCAGCUCAAAAAGAUGAAACUUGGAAGUCCAUUGCCAUCUUGAGGCCUGUUAACCUUCAAUUUAUAAACAUAUAUGCUCAGCUAUUUGUCGAAAUAUGUCUCACUGAAACC